rnacentral:rRNA from 1 species
AUACGGAGGGUGCGAGCGUUAAUCGGAAUUACUGGGCGUAAAGCGCGCGUAGGCGGUUUGCUAAGUCAGAUGUGAAAGCCCCGGGCUUAACCUGGGAACUGCAUUUGAUACUGGCAGACUAGAGUAUGAUAGAGGGGGGUAGAAUUCCUGGUGUAGCGGUGAAAUGCGUAGAUAUCAGGAGGAAUACCAGUGGCAAAGGCGGCCCCCUGGAUCAAUACUGACGCUGAGGUACGAAAGCGUGGGGAGCGAACAGGAUUAGAAACCCUAGUAGUCC